UUUUUUUUCCUUCUUCAGUUCUUCUUCUUCGCCGCUCUCCUCCUCCAUCACUGUGUUCAUAAGAAAACGCCACCAUCACUGUUUUUUUGAUUCAUUCAACAAUAAGUCCACAACAGUUAAAUUUAGACUGAGGAAUGAUCGAUCUAUCUGUUGGGUACCCGAAAUCUUCAGAAAGAUCCUCCUACUUCUUGCUCAGCAGGUAAUCUUGAUUAGUUGCUGAAGUUUAGAGCUACUGAAACUCUAUUAUUGGACUAGAGACAGUACAACUAGUUGCUCUUACUGAGCGGUACUUGGUCCUAUCAACAAUAAUGCCACCACCACCAGUGCUGCUGUCAUGGAAUAGAUUUUCAAGACUUUGUAUUUGCCACCAGUGCUACUUGUUAAUUUUUUACCACCACUUCCAGUGCUACUUGUUACUUUGCUACUUGUUACUUUUGUCUCCAAUAAGACUAUUUUUUAAUUGUGUGUGAGUGACUGUGUCUGUCAGUCUUUUGCUACUUGUUACUUUUUCAGUUUUUCAAGACUUGGUAUUUGACACUUUUCUUUGCUAGUAUUAUUGCUA